rnacentral:rRNA from 1 species
UCGGGAAUUUUGGGCAAUGGGCGAAAGCCUGACCCAGCAACGCCGCGUGAAGGAUGAAGUAUUUCGGUAUGUAAACUUCGAAAGAAUAGGAAGAAUAAAUGACGGUACUAUUUAUAAGCUCCGGCUAACUACGUGCCAGCAGCCGCGGUAAUACGUAGGGAGCAAGCGUUGUUCGGAUUUACUGGGCGUAAAGGGCGCGUAGGCGGCGCGGUAAGUCACUUGUGAAAUCUCUGAGCUUAACUCAGAACGGCCAAGUGAUACUGCAGUGCUAGAGUGCAGAAGGGGCAAUCGGAAUCCUUGGUGUAGCGGUGAAAUGCGUAGAUAUCAAGAGGAACACCUGAGGUGAAGACGGGUUGCUGGGCUGACACUGACGCUGAGGCGCGAAAGCCAGGGGAGCAAACGGGAUUAGAGUACCCAGGUAGUCCCUGAGCGGGCUGGCAAGGCGCAU